UGGGGAAUAUUGCACAAUGGGCGGGAGCCUGAACCAGCCAAGCCGCGUGAGGGAUGAAGGCCCUAUGGGUCGUAAACCUCUUUUGUCAGGGAACAAAAGCGAGUAUGUAUACUAGUCUGAGUGUACCUGAAGAAAAAGCAUCGGCUAACUCCGUGCCAGCAGCCGCGGUAAUACGGAGGAUGCGAGCGUUAUCCGGAUUUAUUGGGUUUAAAGGGUGCGUAGGCGGCGAUGCAAGUCAGCGGUAAAAGCCCGGGGCUCAACCCCGGCGAGCCGUUGAAACUGCAGUGCUAGAGAAGGCGAGAGGUACGCGGAAUGCGCAGUGUAGCGGUGAAAUGCUUAGAUAUUGCGCAGAACUCCGAUUGCGAAGGCAGCGUACUGGCGCCUGACUGACGCUGAGGCACGAAAGCGUGGGGGAUCGAACAGGAUUAGAUACC
rnacentral:rRNA from 1 species